ACCCGGCUGGCUCAGUGGGUGGAGCAUGAGACUCUUGAUCUCGAGGUUGUAGGUUCAAGCCCCACUUGGGUG
rnacentral:tRNA from 1 species